rnacentral:rRNA from 1 species
UACAGAGGUCUCAAGCGUUGUUCGGAUUCAUUGGGCGUAAAGGGUGCGUAGGCGGGCGCGGUAAGUCGGGUGUGAAAAUCUCGGGGGCUUAACUCCGAAAACUGCAUUCGAUACUACCGUGCUUGAGGACUGGAGAGGAGACUGGAAUUUACGGUGUAGCGGUGAAAAUGCGUAGAUAUUGGAGGAAUACCGGUGGCGAAGGCGGCAUCCUGGACCGGCAUUGACGCUGAGGGAGCGA